CUUCCUCCUUGUUCGCACACACACACAACAGCGAAACGACGACGACAUGGAAAUACAACCACUUUCUCGAGACGAAGAAGAAGGUUGGGACAAUUGUGUGUAACGCACUCGUCGUUCGUGUCCCGCAAAACGGACAGAUGGAGAGAUAAAGAGGAAAUAAAGGGCCAUCCCGUGAUUGAGGAGACUUCUUGAGAGAGAGAGGAAACCAAGAGCCAGGGACAAUAAAGGGUGGUGUGAAACGCAAUAUUAUUAUUAUAUUUAGUACUCUGAGGAUAAGUUAGCAUAGAUCUUUGUCCAACCAACUAACUAGAAACUAAUAAUGAGACAGAAAGCCACUCGUGCAUUAUUCAAUCUCAAAACUCACUCGAAACAAUUACUACUACGACCUGAAUAAUAAUAAAUAAAUAAUGACGCCAACCAGUCAGCACAACUUUUCCUACGGUAACAACAAA